rnacentral:rRNA from 1 species
GAUGAACGCUGGCGGCGUGCUUAACACAUGCAAGUCGAACGAUGAAGCCCAGCUUGCUGGGUGGAUUAGUGGCGAACGGGUGAGUAACACGUGAGCAACCUGCCCCUGACUCUGGGAUAAGCGCUGGAAACGGCGUCUAAUACUGGAUAUGUCCCGUCACCGCAUGGUGUGCGGGUGGAAAGAUUUUUCGGUUGGGGAUGGGCUCGCGGCCUAUCAGCUUGUUGGUGAGGUAAUGGCUCACCAAGGCGUCGACGGGUAGCCGGCCUGAGAGGGUGACCGGCCACACUGGGACUGAGACACGGCCCAGACUCCUACGGGAGGCAGCAGUGGGGAAUAUUGCACAAUGGGCGGAAGCCUGAUGCAGCAACGCCGCGUGAGGGAUGACGGCCUUCGGGUUGUAAACCUCUUUUAGCAGGGAAGAAGCGAAAGUGACGGUACCUGCAGAAAAAGCACCGGCUAACUACGUA